UACGGAGGGUGCGAGCGUUGUCCGGAAUCACUGGGCGUAAAGGGCGCGUAGGUGGCCUGAUAAGGGUGUGGUGAAAGUCCGGGGCUCAACCCCGGAUCGGCCGUGCCGACUGUUAGGCUAGAGUACUGUAGGGGCAGGCGGAAUUCCGGGUGUAGCGGUGGAAUGCGUAGAGAUCCGGAGGAAGACCGGUGGCGAAGGCGGCCUGCUGGGCAGUUACUGACACUGAGGCGCGACAGCGUGGGGGAGCAAACAGG
rnacentral:rRNA from 1 species